rnacentral:rRNA from 1 species
GCGACCCAGGUCAGCGGGA